rnacentral:lncRNA from 1 species
UUUUUUUUUUUUUUUCUUUAAAUGGUUUUCAAAUGCAAGUGUUAAUAACUAUGACCCAUGUCAUGCAUUGUAUUAUGUCCUCCCACAGAGAUAUGUUGGAGUCCCAACAUUAGUACCUCAAAAUGUGACCUUACUUGGACAUAGGGUUUUGACAAUGGUGAUCAAGCUAAAACAAGGUCAUCAGGGUGAACUUUGAUCCAACAUGACCAGUGUCUGUAUAAAAAGGUUGAAAGUGUACAUAAAGACACACACAUGGGGAGAUGCCUUGUGAAAAUGAAGGCAGAGAUAGGGUGAUACACCUACAAGCGAAGUAACACCGAGAAUUGCCAGCCAAUCACUAUUUUUCCCUCAAGAUAAGCAGCUUAAUAAGAAUAUGCUGACUAGGGGAAUCCCUGAGUGGCUCAGCAGUUUCGCGCCUGCCUUUGGCCCAGGGCGCGAUCCUGGAGUCCCGGGAUCGAGUCCCGUGUCGGGCUCCCGGCAUGGAGCCUGCUUCUCCCUCUCCUCUGCCUGUGUCUCUGCCUCUCUCUCUCUCUAUGUCUAUCAUAAAUAAAUAAAAAUAAAUUAAAAAAAAAAGAAUAUGCUGACUAGGGAUGCCUGGGUGGCACAGUUGGUUAAGUGUCCAACUCUUGGUUUUGGCUCAGGUGGCGAUCUCAGGGUCAGGAGAUGGAGCUCGUGUAGGGCUCAGAGUGGAGCCUGCUUGGGAGACAUUCUCUUCCCUCUCUCUCUGUCCCUCCCCACUGUGUGCUCUCUCUCUCUCUCCCUCAAAUAAAUAAAUAAACCUUUAAAAAAAAAAGAAUAUGCUAAUAAGAAAUAGAGUUUUAGAAUUUGUAACAUUUCCAUACAGAGAGUUAUAGUAAAAAAAAUUUUAAAAAGGAAAAAUCUAUACAAAAUGUAUCAUCAGUCAAUCCUGUCUCAAAUCUAAGGAUAUUUCUUCUGGUUUAUACAAUAAAAAUACUUCAUUCUAAGAAUUAAAAGUCUAGAAAAUAAAGAGUUUCCCAGGUGAAUUAAAUCAUGCAUUCCAGUGUCCAAUGAGGGUAUGAUAUGGCCAUAAGUGUGUUCAAGUAGAUGCAGAUAUUCUCUAUAGAGGAGAAAAUGAAAGGAAGUCUGAGGUCAGGAGAGCAGGGCACAUUGAUGAGAAUAAGUAGGGAGCCAAGGAGUCUCCAGGCAUGAAAAAAAUGGAUGGUCUUUUACCCACUGAUAGGAUUUUGCACACACUUUCACUUAACAGCUGGGCUAGAAUUUUUAUGAGUUUUUAACACCCAUUUUAUUAUACAUCCUCCCUUCACAUCCAUUCUCACUAAAAUUUUCCAAGGUAUUUCUUAUAAACAUUUACUUUUGUUUUUACAUUUUGUUUCUUAAUUGAAAGCUAAUAGUAAGAUGUUAGUCUUCAGAAAUUUGCCUCACAAAAGAAAAAAAACAACUAUAAUAAGGUAUUAAAUCCACAACACCAGAGGUGUCUCUAACAAAACAAAACAAAAACAAAUAAAAAUGGCUAUCAUAAGAAUGAUAAAUCUGAAAUGGAUGAACUCUGGUCCUAUAGUCAUAUUUUGAAAAGGAAGAAAAAAUAAAGUAUUGGUCUCAAGGUCACUGUUUCACUGGAAUAAUUAAUGUUUACUGUUCCCUGCAUAAAAUACCUAAACUGAACAAUAGAGCUAUCCACAGGACUGUAGUCAGUAGAACACUCUAGCUAGCAAAAUACUCUCAUAUACCAUGUACUUUGGGUUGCACGCUUACCAAAAUUCACUUAUGUGUUCCCAGCCCUAUUUAUGCCAGUUGAGCCUAUUAAUGUAAUUACAUAAUUCAGUUAAACAAUAUUUCUAUAAAAUGUGAGUUGCAAUAGAGAGAGAAUUGUUGCUUUACCAAAACUAGUCAAAUGCUUUGGAGAGACCCAAUAAGGAAAAAAUGCUUUUUAAAAAAAUUGUCAUUGUGGGGCAGGGAUGAUAAAAAUCUAUACAGACCUCUCUACUUGGGUUGCUAGUCACUGUCUUUAUAUUCUUAAUUAACGUUAAAAAAAUUGAAACUGGAAUUUCUGAACAUUUCUGAAAUUGAAACUGGAAUUGAAACUGGAAUUUGUAGAGGCUCCUUUAGGGAUAUAGCUUAUGCAAAAACAACAUCCCUACAACUUAUUGCAAAGGCCUUGGCUCCACAGCAAAACAAUGGUGAAUAAAUGUGCAUUUAUGGAUUUUAAGCAAAAGUCAAAUGUGUUGUGUAUAUAUGUGAUUUACGAUUCCCCCAACUUAAGCAACUUACUUGAUCAAUCAGUCAACAACCAUUUUCAAUUGUACAGAAUAAGAAGUCUUCUAUGAUAAAAAAGAAAAUGGUAAACCAGGAAGGAUUUUUUCUUAACCUGCAUAUAAUGAACAGAGAUAGAAAGCAAUAGACUCAAAUAUUCAAACCAAGAAACAGAAUCCACUUCAAUACCCAAGUCUACUUGUAUCACUUAAAUGAGAAACAGCCUAGCUAUAACUAUAAGCAUUAAAUGUUGUAUAAAUCUGAGGCACGUAGACUCCAAUUAAUUACUGCAUGAUAUUACCAUUUCUUCUAUAACUAUGUAAUAAUACCAACUGCCUAUAAUCAGAAGGAUUUAGUAGACAUUUAUUGAUGGAAAUCAGAUGAUUUCAUCCACAGUGUCUGAAUUACUUUGAUAUGCUUGAGCCUGAAGCAAAAUAAUGUAAUAAAAAAACAACAUACAGAUGAGAACCUCAAUUUUUCUCUACAUAUGAAUCUGUCACUGAUUUGGGAAGAAUCAAAUCUAAGUCCAACCAGGUGAAGAUGUUCCAUACAUUAUUCUUCCCAAUUCAAUAAAAAAAAAUUUCCCUUUCCAGUAUGUUUAUAUACUGUUCCUGACUUUGUGGUAUCCUGGACAUUGAGGGAGCCCAGAGACACAGAGUAUUACCUUAGCAAAUGUUAAACAAAGCACAUAUGAUUUAUAGAACAUUUUCUUAAGAGUUUGCUUGAAAGACCACCUGAAGUCUUAAGCCCUCAAAAUAAUAACCAAUAGAUUAAUGAGUAGAGUGGGAAGGUAGAUCUUAUGAGUAAAAUGAAUGAGAAAUAGGUUAUAUGGCAGGCUGGAAAUUUCUUUCCCUCUUUCUCCCCCUCCUUCCACUCUCCCCCUCAAAAGUCCAGCAGUAGUCUAUUAUGGCGCUAAAAAAAAAAAAAAAAAA